UUGACGUUUCUGAGGACAUUUCAGCAAGGAAGGGUCUUUCAAGUCGAUUAGUGAUUGCCUGUAACUCGUGUAAGAUGCACAGUGAUACUGUGACGAUGUCAGUAACUGACAGUCGACAUUACCGUGUAAAUAUUUAACUUGCUUAUGCAAUGUGAUGUAUUGGAAGGGGUCGGAGAGCUGCUCAGAUUUUUUGUGCAGUGAUGGAUUUGUGUCCACCCCUACUGAGAUUUGACAGAUACAAUAAAUUAGUACAUAAUGCUUUAUAUAGUGUAAAUGAGCAUUCAAUGAAAAGAGCAGCAGAAGAAGCAUUGUCUGAGAAUAGACAUCGCAGCAGCAUGUAACGUAUCUUGGCAGAAGAGAGACCAUACUUAUCUGGAUGGGGUUGUAACUGCCACAUUUAUUGAAACUGGUAAGAUACUAAAUUAUGAAUGUCUAACAAAGCGGUGCCAGGGUUGUUCAAGUAAAUUUAUUGGCACCCAUGUUUGUGUAUAGCACUUCGAUAGCCCAAGUGUAAAACAUGGAAAUGAACGGAGUUAUAAACAUUUUUAGAAGAUCAGAGGUCAGUUGUGGUGUGAGUUAUGUAGGCUUUCUUGGGGAUGGAAACUGUAAAGGACACACUACUGUUAAUGACAGACCAUAUAGGGACACACUGAUAGAAAAGCUUGACUUUGUUUGGCAUGUACAAAAAAGAAUGGGAGCUUGGCUGAGAAAAUAAUGUAAAGACUUUAGUGGAAAAAAAAAAACUGUCAGACAGAAAACACAUAGGUAGUCCAGGUCAUCUUAUUAAAAGUGAAAUUGAUUCCUGGACUUAACAUUAUGGACUUGCAAUAAGGAGAAAUGUAGAAGAUUUGGAGAACAUGAGACAAGCUGUUGGGGCAACAUGGUUUCAUGGAGUGUCAACAGAUGAAACCUCACAGGAUGGUUUGUGUCAAAAAGGGGAAGAUUCGUGGUGCAAGUACUGGUUGAGCAAAGAUAUAGACAUACAAUAUACCCACAAGCAUCCCUUACGACUUGCUGUAAUGGAGGCAAUUAGGCCUAUAUAUAGAUAGGGAUCUGGCAAAUGAAAAUCUGCUUACGAAAUGUAUGCAAAUGAAAGCUUAAACAGCUGUAUAUUGGAGACAACACCCAAAACUAUAUUUGUUGGGCUGGUGGUGCUGAAGAUUGAUGUAAUGGGUGCAACAAUAAUAUUCAAUGAUGGUGCAAUUUCAAGGAUCAAGUUAUGAAGAAAUUCAACAUCCAGAUGGGAAGGAAUAUGGCUUCAGCUCUAACUGCAAUUGACAAGCGGCGGGUAACUGAAGCUGAGACAGCUGCAGAAGCUGCUACCAAGGAGUCAAAGAUAAAGAAAAGAAUGAAGAGAGAGAAUAUGGAGGAUAAGGAAACAGGAGGACAACUGGAGUAUGCAGCUGGAAUAUUAUAAACGAGCACAGUGAUCAGCAUCAGGGAAGGAAACUGGAGGUAUAAAACACUUAUGUGAAUGUUGUCUGUACUCUGACUCUUUUUCCAAGCUGCGCUGUCAGUGGUUCCAAAGAAAAUGGUACUACAGUGAAGUAGAGUUCUGUUUUUUAUGCUGUUAUAAAUAUUGUUGUCAGUACCAAAUAUAAUAAAUAUCUCAAUGA